UGCAUCGGCCGGGAAUCAAACCUGGGGCCGCCCGCGUGGCAGGCGAGCAUUCUACCACUGAAUCACUGAUGC
rnacentral:tRNA from 1 species